AGUCCUUAAACAACAUGAUCUAUUCUAUAGGAUCGUAAUAUUGUGUCCUUGAUUUCUAAGGAGACGGACACAUUAAUCUUGGACGAUGAAUUAUGACUGUGUGAUUAAAGUGUAAUUAACGGUUAUGUAGUGAGAUCUUACGGGAAUCAUAACAAGAUACUGUAGAAGAUCCUUCUCAACAAGUACAAUUUGAUUGGGUUGGUCACACAGUUGUCUGGCAGAUU